rnacentral:rRNA from 1 species
AGCUCCAAUAGCGUAUAUUAAAGUUGUUGCAGUUAAAAAGCUCGUAGUUGAACUUCUGCGUACCUUCAGUUCUGGCUCCGGUCAAGCUGUUGCGUGCGCAUCCGCUUGCAAACCCAGACCGGCCUUCAUUGGUCGACUGGGGGAGUAAGCCCUUUACUUUGAAAAAAUUAGAGUGUUUCAGGCAGGCAAUGGCUCGAAUACAUUAGCAUGGAAUAAUGGAAUAGGACUUUUGUCCAUUUGGUUGGUUAUUGGACAUGAGUAAUGAUUAAAAGGGACAGUUGGGGGCAUUAGUAUUUAAUUGUCAGAGGUGAAAUUCUUGGAUUUAUUAAAGACUAACUUAUGCGAAAGCAUUUGCCAAGGAUGUUUUCAUUA